CAACACCUUUUCAGAAAUCUGUGU
rnacentral:siRNA from 1 species